rnacentral:lncRNA from 1 species
GCCCAGCAAACAGACCGACGUGUUAAUUACGUGAAUUUCUGGUACAUUUGUCACCAAUAUACGUAAAUUGCUUACGUGAAUUUCACGUGAAAAUUUGGUUGGAAUGUCACAUUGAAAAUACGUCUUUAAAUUACGUGAAUAACUCGUCUUCAAUAGACGUGUUAUUCACCUUAAAUACCAAUAAAAUGUUUCGGGAAAUUCACGUUGCAAAUACGUGUUGAUCAACAUAUCUUUCGGUUCACGUAAAUAAUUCGACCUUAAUUAACUUACUAAUCAUGUAAUUAUUAUCCUCAUAUGACAUAAAUAAAACAAGCCUAUAAAGUAUUAACAAUGUAUUUAUUUAGUAGAAUUUAGAGACUUUAAAACAUUUGUCUUGUAUAAUUAUUAUACAAGAUAAUGAACCAAAAAUGCUACCGACCUAAAGACGCAUUAAAAAAUUUGCCAACACAAAACACAACACAGGUCACUUUUUAUUUUGACGACACUUCAACCCUCGAGCAGUGAGGUAAACGUUAAUACGAAAGGCAUUAUUAUAAAUAAACCCGCCUAAAAUAAAACGAGGGAAAUAAAGCUCUUCACGUUUCACUUUCACUUUUUGUUGUGAGGAGAAAUGUGAGAAGCUGAUAUUAGAGAAUUAGAGGUUAUGCUCAUCGAUUAUAAAAAUCGAUUAUUUUUAAAUUACAGUUAAACUAUUCUACUUACUUUAAAUUAGUAUUACAUAUUUUCUUUUUGUUUUUAAAUUUCUUCUGCUAUUACCUAAUUGGUCUUACUAAAAAUCUAUUUCAAUACCAGAAUAAUAUAAAAAAAUAAUCCUAUCGAAACGUAUCUAUUAUUCGAUAAAUCGAUUAAUUUAGUUUUCGAACCAACUAUGUUAAUCACGUAUCGUGGUCACGUGAUAGUAUUUAAAGGAGGAGAAAGGCUUGGUAGUACGUCAUCACCGCGCGCGAUUUGAAAAUUAGACUCGACAUCAUUUUAGCUGUGAUAUUUUUAAAGAAAAAAAAAAAUAGCAAAAAUAGCUUCAAAUCAAGGUUGGAUUGAAAUAGUUAUGCUAAAUGAUUUUAAAAGCGAAAUCAUAAACUUUUUGUUUAAAUAUUGUAUUAUUUACAUUACUUUACGUGGAAUACAUCUAAUUUUUCGACGUCCAUAAAAUACAGGGAGUAAAAUUCAAGCGAUACGUAUUUAACCAACACCGUUGUAAAAUUUUGUUUUCAAAAAUAUUUCUCAAAAUUUAACCAAAGGAAGUUAUUUCUGUUUCGUGAUUAUUACGUGAAAUAAACGUACCUUUGCGAUGUAACCGACAUUCACACCUAUGAUAAAAAACAUGUACAAUAUUCGUCAUUAUGAUUUUAUAUUAUUCUAAUGUCAAACAUGUAUAAAGGAAUCAAAAAUAUAUUGGUGAAUGAUUUGGCACUGAAAUACGUUUUUUUCCCGUCAUAAAUCUCCGAGUUACGUAUUCGUUGAAAUUUGCCGUAAAUUUAACGUAAUUAUCACGUAACUGGGCUCAAACCUGUUUGCUGGGUGGUUAUAUUUCCGUAUAUUUUUGUGGAAUUUUCUUAUAAUAUCGUUUAUUUGUUUAAUAUUUGUUGAGUUUUUAAGCAUAUAAGGACAAUAUUACUAUAAUUACUUAUUUGGGUCCUAUACAAAGGCAGUAAUGACUUGUGAAGUGUGUUUUCGUAACCGUGUAAAAUGAGUGGUGGUAAAAUUUGUAGCAUAGCUAUAUGUAAAAGCAACUCCAAAAUUCCUGAACCAGAUGGAAACAAAAUAGUGUUUUUGGACAUUUCCCAAAUACCUUAACAUUAUCAAACAAUAAUGGAUAAUAAAAUGUUACAAGAUAAAUGGGCCUCUAAACAUAAGAAAAUAGGUAGCAAACAUUUCCUCGUGUCUGAAUAUGUUAAUAUUAUGUUACGUCUUUUUUAUAUUUUAACCUAAUAAUAAAUUAUUUAUAUUA